rnacentral:rRNA from 1 species
UGACCUGCGGCAGCCUAAUAAUGCAAGUCCUACGGUAAGUGCCCCUUCGGGGGCAUGAGAGUGGCGGACGGGUGCGUAACGCGUAUGCAACCAACCCCAACCAGGCGGACAGCCGGUGGAAACGCCGGAUAAGACGCCAUGCGGCCCUUGGGGGGCAUCCCCUUGGGGUCAAAGCGGAGACGCGGGACGGGACGGGCAUGCGUGCCAUUAGAUAGUCGGCGGGGUGACGGCCCACCGAGUCGACGAUGGCUAGGGGAUCUGAGAGGACGGUCCCCCACACUGGUACUGAGACACGGACCAGACUCCUGCGGGAGGCAGCAGUAAGGGAUAUUGGUCAAUGGGCGGAAGCCUGAACCAGCCAUGCCGCGUGAGGGAAUGAGGCCCUACGGGUCGUGAACCUCUUUUGGCCGGGGACAAGGGCUCGCACGCGAUGCGAGCUUGAGGGUACCGGCAGAAUAAGCGUCGGCUAACUCCGUGCCAGCAGCCGCGGUAAU